rnacentral:rRNA from 1 species
CUCACAGAGGGGGAUAACCCGUCGAAAGACGGACUAAUACCGCGUACACUCCAUCUUGGGCAUCCAAGGAGGAGGAAAUGAAUUUCGCUGUGAGAUAGGCAUGCGUCCCAUUAGCUUGUUGGUGAGGUAACGGCUCGCCAAGGCGACGAUGGGUAGGGGAACUGAGAGGUUGAACCCCCACACUGGUACUGAGACACGGACCAGACUCCUACGGGAGGCAGCAGUGAGGAAUAUUGGUCAAUGGGCGAGAGCCUGAACCAGCCAAGUCGCGUGAAGGAUGACUGUCUUAUGGAUUGUAAACUUCUUUUAUACGGGAAUAACAAGAGUCACGUGUGGCUCCCUGCAUGUACCGUAUGAAUAAGCAUCGGCUAACUCCGUGCCAGCAGCCGCGGUAAUACGGAGGAUGCGAGCGUUAUCCGGAUUUAUUGGGUUUAAAGGGUGCGUAGGCGGCCUGUUAAGUCAGCGGUGAAAUCUAGGAGCUUAACUCCUAAAUUGCCAUUGAAACUGGCGGGCUUGAGUGUACGCUGAGGUAGGCGGAAUGCGUGGUGUAGCGGUGGAAUGCAUAGAUAUCACGCAGAACUCCAAUUGCGAAGGCAGCUUACUAAGGUACAACUGACGCUGAAGCACGAAAGCGUGGGUAUCAAACAGGAUUAGAUAUCCUGGUAGUCCACGCAGUAAA